UACGGGGGGGCAAGCGUUGUUCGGAAUUACUGGGCGUAAAGGGCUCGUAGGUGGCCAACUAAGUCAGACGUGAAAUCCCUCGGCUUAACCGGGGAACUGCGUCUGAUACUGGAUGGCUUGAGUUCGGGAGAGGGAUGCGGAAUUCCAGGUGUAGCGGUGAAAUGCGUAGAUAUCUGGAGGAACACCGGUGGCGAAGGCGGCAUCCUGGACCGACACUGACGCUGAGGAGCGAAAGC
rnacentral:rRNA from 1 species